rnacentral:rRNA from 1 species
CUGAACAUUGAGCCUUGAUGUGUAGGAUAGGUGGGAGGCUUUGAAGCGUGGACGCCAGUCUGCGUGGAGCCGACCUUGAAAUACCACCCUUUAAUGUUUGAUGUUCUAACGUGGACCCGUAAUCCGGGUUGCGGACAGUGUCUGGUGGGUAGUUUGACUGGGGCGGUCUCCUCCUAAAGAGUAACGGAGGAGCACGAAGGUUGGCUAAUCCUGGUCGGACAUCAGGAGGUUAGUGCAAUGGCAUAAGCCAGCUUGACUGCGAGCGUGACGGCGCGAGCAGGUGCGAAAGCAGGUCAUAGUGAUCCGGUGGUUCUGAAUGGAAGGGCCAUCGCUCAACGGAUAAAAGGUACUCCGGGGAUAACAGGCUGAUACCGCCCAAGAGUUCAUAUCGACGGCGGUGUUUGGCACCUCGAUGUCGGCUCAUCACAUCCUGGGGCUGAAGUAGGUCCCAAGGGUAUGGCUGUUCGCCAUUUAAAGUGGUACGCGAGCUGGGUUUAGAACGUCGUGAGACAGUUCGGUCCCUAUCUGCCGUGGGCGCUGGAGAACUGAGGGGGGCUGCUCCUAGUACGAGAGGACCGGAGUGGACGCAUCACUGGUGUUCGGGUUGUCAUGCCAAUGGCACUGCCCGGUAGCUAAAUGCGGAAGAGAUAAGUGCUGAAAGCAUCUAAGCACGAAACUUGCCCCGAGAUGAGUUCUCCCUGAGACUUAGAGUCUCCUGAAGGAACGUUGAAGACGACGACGUUGAUAGGCCGGGUGUGUAAGCGCAGCGAUGCGUUGAGCUAACCGGUACUAAUGAACCGUGAGG